rnacentral:rRNA from 1 species
UACAGAGGUCUCAAGCGUUUGUUCGGAUUCAUUGGGCGUAAAGGGUGCGUAGGUGGCGUCGUAAGUGGGGUGUGAAAUCCCGGGGCUUAACCCCGGGACUGCAUUCCAUACUGCGGUGCUUGAGGACUGGGAGAGGAGACUGGAAUUUACGGUGUAGCAGUGAAAUGCGUAGAGAUCGUAAGGAAGACCAGUGGCGAAGGCGGGUAGCUGGGCCGACACUGACGCUGAUGCGCGAAAGCCAGGGGAGGCGAACGGG